rnacentral:rRNA from 1 species
GAUGAACGCUGGCGGCGUGCUUAACACAUGCAAGUCGAGCGAACAGACGAGGAUCUUGCUGGUCGCACGUGAGCGGCGGACGGGUAAGUAACACGAGGGUACCCUGCCUAGAGGACUGAGAAAACGUAGGGAAAGCGGAUAUAAUAUCGGAUAAUCUAGUGAAACGCGUGGUUCGUUAGAGAAAGACGGUUUUGCUGGCACGUAUAGAGGGUUCCGCGCCGCAUUAGCUAGUUGGUAAGGUAACGGCUUACCAAGGCAACGAUGCGUAGCCGACCUGAGAGGGUGAUCGGCCACACUGGAACUGAGACACGGUCCAGACUCCUACGGGAGGCAGCAGUAGGGAAUCUUCCGCAAUGGGGGAAAGCCUGACGGAGCAACGCCGCGUGAGUGAUGAAGGUCUUCGGAUCGUAAAGCUCUGUUAUUAGGGAAGAACCGUUGUGUACGUAAACCUGCACGUAUUGACGGUACCUGCUCAAAAAGCAACGGCUAACUACGUG